rnacentral:rRNA from 1 species
UACAGAGGGUGCAAGCGUUAAUCGGAAUUACUGGGCGUAAAGGGCUCGUAGGCGGCCAACUAAGUCAGACGUGAAAUCCCUCGGCUUAACCGGGGAACUGCGUCUGAUACUGGAUGGCUGGAGUUUGGGAGAGGGAUGCGGAAUUCCAGGUGUAGCGGUGAAAUGCGUAGAUAUCUGGAGGAACACCGGUGGCGAAGGCGGCAUCCUGGACCAAUACUGACGCUGAGGAGCGAAAGCCAGGGGAGCAAACGGG